rnacentral:rRNA from 1 species
UGCUGCUUCGCUGACGAGUGGCGGACGGGUGAGUAAUGUCUGGGAAACUGCCUGAUGGAGGGGGAUAACUACUGGAAACGGUGGCUAAUACCGCAUAACGUCGCAAGACCAAAGAGGGGGACCUUCGGGCCUCUUGCCAUCAGAUGUGCCCAGAUGGGAUUAGCUAGUUGGUGAGGUAACGGCUCACCAAGGCGACGAUCCCUAGCUGGUCUGAGAGGAUGACCAGCCUCACUGGAACUGAGACACGGUCCAGACUCCUACGGGAGGCAGCAGUGGGGAAUAUUGCACAAUGGGCGCAAGCCUGAUGCAGCCAUGCCGCGUGUAUGAAGAAGGCCUUCGGGUUGUAAAGUACUUUCAGCGGGGAGGAAGGUGUUGUGGUUAAUAACCGCAGCAAUUGACGUUACCCGCAGAAGAAGCACCGGCUAACUCCGUGCCAGCAGCCGCGGUAAUACGGAGGGUGCAAGCGCUAAUCGGAAUUACUGGGCGUAAAGCGCACGCAGGCGGUCUGUCAAGUCGGAUGUGAAAUCCCCGGGCUCAACCUGGGAACUGCAUUCGAAACUGGCAGGCUUGAGUCUUGUAGAGGGGGGUAGAAUUCCAGGUGUAGCGGUGAAAUGCGUAGAGAUCUGGAGGAAUACCGGUGGCGAAGGCGGCCCCCUGGACAAAGACUGACGCUCAGGUGCGAAAGCGUGGGGAGCAAACAGGAUUAGAUACCCUGGUAGUCCACGCCGUANACGAUGUCUACUUGGAGGUUGUGCCCUUGAGGCGUGGCUUCC